CCCUCCCGCACUCUAGCCUUGCAGUAUCAGAUGCUGUUCUUCCGUUAAGCAGAAGGCUUUCACAACUGACUUACAAGGCCGCCUACGUGCUCUUUACGCCCAAUAAUUCCGAACAACGCUUGCCGCCUCUGUAUUACCGCGGCUGCUGGCACAGAGUUAGCCGUGGCUUCCUCCGGAGCCUUAGUCAAGUAAGGAUACUAUUAACACCCUUA
rnacentral:rRNA from 1 species